GAAACUGGAUCCUGCUUCUUUUGUUACCCUGAAGUCAGUUUUAGUGAAUCACACGACCUCUUAAUUGGUUUCGAGUCAUUCUUGGCAGCUGACGCAAAAAAUGGGCUGUAAACGAUCAUAGGUGGUUUUGGUGUUGGUGCUGUGAGUGGCUAAUUUCCUUGGAUCCAGUGGCUGGAUUUCCUUGGAUUCUUAGAAGCUGGCUUGACAUUGAAGUCUAG
rnacentral:lncRNA from 1 species